AUGUUUCGUAGAUGUUCGGGGUCAAAAGUAGUGGAUCUUGGCGUUCCCAGAUUUGGACGGUCUAGUCAACGACACAAAGGGCCAGCUGUGGUGCACGAAGGCAGCGAGAGCUUCAAUGGCAUCCAACGCACGGCAGUGAUGCUCGGGGUCCAAGGAGAGGCAUCGAGGCAAGCAGGCAACGAGGCAGGGGCGACGGGUCCUGGUGGCCGGCAGGAGAGGUUCGAGACGACAGCAACGAUACAAGGUGCGGCGGAGCGCCAUGGCACUGGCGCGGCACCUACGAGCAGAGGCGUCCGUAGGGCGGCAGAGCAGCAGCGGCAAAAGCGGACAUGGAGGAGAAAGAAGGGCAUGGGCAGGGAGGCCCUGGUGGUGUAG
rnacentral:rRNA from 1 species